rnacentral:rRNA from 1 species
CACGCCGUAAACGAUGAGUGCUAAGUGUUAGGGGGUUUCCGCCCCUUAGUGCUGCAGCUAACGCAUUAAGCACUCCGCCUGGGGAGUACGGUCGCAAGACUGAAACUCAAAGGAAUUGACGGGGGCCCGCACAAGCGGUGGAGCAUGUGGUUUAAUUCGAAGCAACGCGAAGAACCUUACCAGGUCUUGACAUCCCGCUGACCGCCAUGGAGACAUGGCUUUCCCUUCGGGGACAGCGGUGACAGGUGG